GAUGAAGAACGUAGCGAAAUGCGAUAAGUAAUGUGAAUUGCAGAAUUCAGUGAAUCAUCGAAUCUUUGAACGCACAUUGCGCCCGCCAGUAUUCUGGCGGGCAUGCCUGUCUGAGCGUCAUUUCAACCCUCAUGCCCCUAGGGCGUGAUGUUGGGGAUCGGCCAAAGCCCGCGAGGGACGGCCGGCCCCUAAAUCUAGUGGCGGACCCGUCGUGGCCUCCUCUGCGAAGUAGUGAUAUUCCGCAUCGGAGAGCGACGAGCCCCUGCCGUUAAACCCCCAACUUUCCAAGGUUGACCUCAGAUCAGGUAGGAAUACCCGCUGAACUUAAGCAUAUCAAUAAGCGGAGGA
rnacentral:misc_RNA from 1 species